rnacentral:tRNA from 1 species
GGAGAGGUGGCCGAGUGGCCGAAGGCGCCGGUUUGCUAAAUCGGUAGGGGGCCUAAAGCCCCCUCGCGGGUUCGAAUCCCGCCCUCUCCG